GGGUACAUUGGAAGUACAGCUGGUAAGAGACCUCGAUAGGCGUAGCAAGGAGUGAUUGCAUGGUGCUUGCUCUGAUUGACGAUGGAUCACCAGUGAGUGGCGGACGGGUGAGUAACACGUAGGUAACCUGCCCCGGAGCGGGGGAUAACAUUUGGAAACAGAUGCUAAUACCGCAUAACAACAAAAGCCACAUGGCUUUUGUUUGAAAGAUGGCUUUGGCUAUCACUCUGGGAUGGACCUGCGGUGCAUUAGCUAGUUGGUAAGGUAACGGCUUACCAAGGCGAUGAUGCAUAGCCGAGUUGAGAGACUGAUCGGCCACAAUGGAACUGAGACACGGUCCAUACUCCUACGGGAGGCAGCAGUAGGGAAUCUUCCACAAUGGGCGCAAGCCUGAUGGAGCAACACCGCGUGAGUGAAGAAGGGUUUCGGCUCGUAAAGCUCUGUUGUUGGAGAAGAACGUGCGUGAGAGUAACUGUUCACGCAGUGACGGUAUCCAACCAGAAAGUCACGGCUAACUACGUGCCAGCAGCCGCGGUAAUACGUAGGUGGCAAGCGUUAUCCGGAUUUAUUGGGCGUAAAGCGAGCGCAGGCGGUUGCUUAGGUCUGAUGUGAAAGCCUUCGGCUUAACCGAAGAAGUGCAUCGGAAACCGGGCGACUUGAGUGCAGAAGAGGACAGUGGAACUCCAUGUGUAGCGGUGGAAUGCGUAGAUAUAUGGAAGAACACCAGUGGCGAAGGCGGCUGUCUGGUCUGCAACUGACGCUGAGGCUCGAAAGCAUGGGUAGCGAACAGGAUUAGAUACCCUGGUAGUCCAUGCCGUAAACGAUGAGUGCUAGGUGUUGGAGGGUUUCCGCCCUUCAGUGCCGGAGCUAACGCAUUAAGCACUCCGCCUGGGGAGUACGACCGCAAGGUUGAAACUCAAAGGAAUUGACGGGGGCCCGCACAAGCGGUGGAGCAUGUGGUUUAAUUCGAAGCUACGCGAAGAACCUUACCAGGUCUUGACAUCUUGCGCUAACCUUAGAGAUAAGGCGUUCCCUUCGGGGACGCAAUGACAGGUGGUGCAUGGUCGUCGUCAGCUCGUGUCGUGAGAUGUUGGGUUAAGUCCCGCAACGAGCGCAACCCUUGUUACUAGUUGCCAGCAUUAAGUUGGGCACUCUAGUGAGACUGCCGGUGACAAACCGGAGGAAGGUGGGGACGACGUCAGAUCAUCAUGCCCCUUAUGACCUGGGCUACACACGUGCUACAAUGGACGGUACAACGAGUCGCAAGCUCGCGAGAGUAAGCUAAUCUCUUAAAGCCGUUCUCAGUUCGGACUGUAGGCUGCAACUCGCCUACACGAAGUCGGAAUCGCUAGUAAUCGCGGAUCAGCAUGCCGCGGUGAAUACGUUCCCGGGCCUUGUACACACCGCCCGUCACACCAUGGGAGUAUGUCACGCCCAAAGUCAGUUGAUCACGUUUCAGGAAGUCCAAGCAU
rnacentral:rRNA from 1 species